UCCCAGGUGAUUUAGUGGUAAGAAUCUGCCUGCCAAGCAGGAAAUGCAGGUUCCAUCCCUGGGUUGGGAA
rnacentral:tRNA from 1 species